rnacentral:rRNA from 1 species
UCGUACGGGAGUUUUUAACUCAAGUGGCGGACGGGUGAGUAACACGUGAGAAUUUACCUUUAGGAGGGGGAUAACAAUUGGAAACGAUUGCUAAUACCCCAUAUGCUUUUUUAAGUGAAACGAAUUCUUUCGCCUAAAGAAAAGCUCGCGGCUGAUUAGCUAGUUGGUAAGGUAAUGGCUUACCAAGGCGACGAUCAGUAUCUGGUUUGAGAGGACGAUCAGACACACUGGAACUGAGACACGGUCCAGACUCCUACGGGAGGCAGCAGUGGGGAAUUUUCCGCAAUGGGCGAAAGCCUGACGGAGCAAUACCGCGUGAGGGAAGAAAGCCUACUGGGUUGUAAACCUCUUUUUUCAGGGAGGAAAAAAAUGACGUGUACCUGAAGAAUAAGCAUCGGCUAACUCCGUGCCAGCAGCCGCGGUAAGACGGAGGAUGCAAGUGUUAUCCGGAAUUACUGGGCGUAAAGCGUCUGUAGGUGGUUUAAUAAGUCAACUGUUAAAUCUUGAGGCUUAACUUCAAAACAGCAGUCGAAACUAUUAGACUAGAGUAUAGUAGGGGUAAAGGGAACUUCCAGUGGAGCGGUGAAAUGCGUAGGUAUUGGAAAGAACACCGAUGGCGAAAGCACUUUACUGGGCUAUUACUAACACUCAGAGACGAAAGCUAGGGUAGCAAAUGGGAUUAGAUACCCCAGUAGUCCUAGCUGUAAACAAUGGAUACUAGAUGUUGAACAGAUCGACCUGUGCAGUAUUAAAGCUAACGCGUUAAGUAUCCCGCCUGGGAAGUAUGCUCGCAAGAGUGAGACUCAAAGGAAUUGACGGGGGCCCGCACAAGCGGUGGAGCAUGUGGUUUAAUUCGAUGCAACGCGAAGAACCUUACCAGGGUUUGACAUGAUACGAAUUUUUUUUGAAAGAAAAAAGUGCCGUUUNGNACGUAUACACAGGUGGNGCAUGG